rnacentral:lncRNA from 1 species
CCUACUUACCCCCCUCUAUUGUGCUAGAGACCACCCAGCAUGUCUCACUCUACACUCUACAACCCCACUUGCUCACCAAACCAUCACUACCAACCAGGCUGGCCCUUGUGGCCCUGCCUAGACCUUCAUUCACAUUGACUCCCUCCAUAAGUGACGUCUGAGGAAGCUGAUGCUUCCAGCAGAAUGCACUAGGAGAGCUCUUUGAAAGGUCAGAUAGCAGCUGGGAACCUGACCCCAUACAGCUCUCUAUACACUAUUUUCCAACAGCUUUCUUACCUGCAACCCUUUAUAGCCUCUCAUGACUUUUUUUUUUUUUUUUUUUUUUUUAAACAUGAGUUUUGCUGCUGACGUGCUCCAGACCAGGCAUCCCUUACUCUGAAAGCUAACAGAAGGCACCAGAAUCCCCUGGGAUACUUUGUCACUGCAUCUCUGUGUGGACAAAGAUGACAGCAGCUGACACAAGAAAAACAAGUACAACUUCGGGAACAAAAUCCAUGUUGCGUGACGUUCCCCAGGCUGCUAAGCACUGGAAUCUGUUGUACUCAGUGCUCACUCUGCACAAGACAAGCUCGAUGCACAGACCAAAACACAAGCUGAGAGCCCAGCCCAGCCUGGUAAGCCUGAGAAACACGUUUCCUCCAGG